rnacentral:rRNA from 1 species
CAAUAGCGUAUAUUAAAGUUGUUGCAGUUAAAAAGCUCGUAGUUGGAUUUCUGGUCGGAAGCUCCUGUCCUCUGAUGAGCGUACAAGUGCGUCCUACCAUCCUUCUGUUAACCUUUAAGGCUUUCGAGGCUUUCUAGGGGCUCAGAUAUUUUACCUUGAGAAAAUUAGAGUGUUUCAGGCAGGCUAGCGCCGGAAUACAUUAGCAUGGAAUAAUGGAAUAGGACUUUUGCCUCUUCUGUUGGUCAUGAGGCUCGAGUAAUGAUUAAUAGGGAUAGUUGGGGGCAUUAGUACUUAACUGUCAGAGGUGAAAUUCUCGGAUUUGUUAAAGACUAACUUAUGCGAAAGCAUUUGCCAAGGAUGUUUUCAUUAA